rfam:Ornithorhynchus anatinus chromosome X1, whole genome shotgun sequence.
AGCAGCGUGGCUCAGUGGAAAGAGCCUGGGCUUUGGAGUCAGAGGUCAUGGGUUCGACUCCCAGCUCUGCCA